CCUACGUGAGGCAGCAGUGAGGAAUAUUGGUCAAUGGGAGAGCUCCUGAACCAGCCAAGCCGCGUGAGGGAAGACGGCCCUCUGGGUUGUAAACCUCUUUUGUCGGAGAACAAAACCCGGGACGUGUCCCGGACUGCGUGUAUCCGAAGAAAAAGCAUCGGCUAACUCCGUGCCAGCAGCCGCGGUAAUACGGAGGAUGCGAGCGUUAUCCGGAUCUAUUGGGUUUAAAGGGUGCGUAGGCGGUCCGUUAAGUCAGCGGGAAACUUGCGGGGCUCAACCCCGUCGAGCCGUUGAAACUGGCAGACUUGAGUGGGCGAGAAGGACGCGGAAUGCGCGGUGUAGCGGUGAAAUGCAUAGAUAUCGCGCAGAACUCCGAUUGCGAAGGCAGCGUACCGGCGCCAGACUGACGCUGAGGCACGAAAGCGUGGGGAUCGAACAGGAUUAGAUACCCGGGUAGUC
rnacentral:rRNA from 1 species